GCCCAACUGAGCCUCGGGGGUCCGGGGUGCAGGCUUCAAACCUGUAGCUGACUAGCGUCAAGAGUGGUUCGACUCCAAAUGGUGGGCG